GACGAACGCUGGCGGCGUGCCUAAUACAUGCAAGUCGAACGCUUCUUUCCUCCCGAGUGCUUGCACUCAAUUGGAAAGAGGAGUGGCGGACGGGUGAGUAACACGUGGGUAACCUACCCAUCAGAGGGGGAUAACACUUGGAAACAGGUGCUAGUACCGCAUAACAGUUUAUGCCGCAUGGCAUAAGAGUGAAAGGCGCUUUCGGGUGUCGCUGAUGGAUGGACCCGCGGUGCAUUAGCUAGUUGGUGAGGUAACGGCUCACCAAGGCCACGAUGCAUAGCCGACCUGAGAGGGUGAUCGGCCACACUGGGACUGAGGCACGGCCCAGACUCCUACGGGAGGCAGCAGUAGGGAAUCUUCGGCAAUGGACGAAAGUCUGACCGAGCAACGCCGCGUGAGUGAAGAAGGUUUUCGGAUCGUAAAACUCUGUUGUUAGAGAAGAACAAGGACGUUAGUAACUGAACGUCCCCUGACGGUAUCUAACCAGAAAGCCACGGCUAACUACGUG
rnacentral:rRNA from 1 species